rnacentral:rRNA from 1 species
UACAGAGGUCUCAAGCGUUGUUCGGAUUCAUUGGGCGUAAAGGGUGCGUAGGUGGCGAGGUAAGUCAGGUGUGAAAUUUCGGAGCUUAACUCCGAAACUGCAUUUGAUACUGCCUUGCUUGAGGACUGGAGAGGAGACUGGAAUUCACGGUGUAGCAGUGAAAUGCGUAGAUAUCGUAAGGAAGGCCAGUGGCGAAGGCGAGUUCCUGGACAGUUACUGACGCUGAGGCACGAAGGCC